GCCUAAUACAUGCAAGUAGAACGCUGAAGAGAGGAGCUUGCUCUUCUUGGAUGAGUUGCGAACGGGUGAGUAACGCGUAGGUAACCUGCCUUGUAGCGGGGGAUAACUAUUGGAAACGAUAGCUAAUACCGCUUAACAAUGGAUGACACAUGUCAUUUAUUUGAAAGGGGCAAUUGCUCCACUACAAGAUGGACCUGCGUUGUAUUAGCUAGUAGGUGAGGUAAUGGCUCACCUAGGCGACGAUACAUAGCCGACCUGAGAGGGUGAUCGGCCACACUGGGACUGAGACACGGCCCAGACUCCUACGGGAGGCAGCAGUAGGGAAUCUUCGGCAAUGGGGGCAACCCUGACCGAGCAACGCCGCGUGAGUGAAGAAGGUUUUCGGAUCGUAAAGCUCUGUUGUAAGUCAAGAACGGGUGUGAGAGUGGAAAGUUCACACUGUGACGGUAGCUUACCAGAAAGGGACGGCUAACUACGUGCCAGCAGCCGCGGUAAUACGUAGGUCCCGAGCGUUGUCCGGAUUUAUUGGGCGUAAAGCGAGCGCAGGCGGUUUGAUAAGUCUGAAGUUAAAGGCUGUGGCUCAACCAUAGUUCGCUUUGGAAACUGUCAAACUUGAGUGCAGAAGGGGAGAGUGGAAUUCCAUGUGUAGCGGUGAAAUGCGUAGAUAUAUGGAGGAACACCGGUGGCGAAAGCGGCUCUCUGGUCUGUAACUGACGCUGAGGCUCGAAAGCGUGGGGAGCGAACAGGAUUAGAUACCCUGGUAGUCCACGCCGUAAACGAUGAGUGCUAGGUGUUGGAUCCUUUCCGGGAUUCAGUGCCGAAGCUAACGCAUUAAGCACUCCGCCUGGGGAGUACGACCGCAAGGUUGAAACUCAAAUGAAUUGACGG
rnacentral:rRNA from 1 species